UGGGGAAUUUUGGACAAUGGGCGCAAGCCUGAUCCAGCCAUGCCGCGUGAGUGAAGAAGGCCUUCGGGUUGUAAAGCUCUUUCGGACGGGAAGAAAUGGCGGGCUCUAACAUAGCCUGUCGAUGACGGUACCGUAAGAAGAAGCACCGGCUAACUACGUGCCAGCAGCCGCGGUAAUACGUAGGGUGCGAGCGUUACUCGGAAUUACUGGGCGUAAAGCGUGCGUAGGUGGUUGUUUAGGUCUGAUGUGAAAGCCCUGGGCUCAACCUUGGAAUGGCAUUGGAAACUGGGCAGCUAGAGUGCGGUAGAGGGUAGUGGAAUUCCCGGUGUAGCAGUGAAAUGCGUAGAGAUCGGGAGGAACAUCUGUGGCGAAGGCGACUGCCUGGACCAGCACUGACACUGAGGCACGAAAGCGUGGGGAGCAAACA
rnacentral:rRNA from 1 species